AAUGUCAACGACAAGCAAACUAAAAAGGCUGAUGCAUAAAGAUAUGAAUGAACUGAUGAGUCAUCGUCCGUUUUGGCGGUUGCAUUGGGAUAACAAAUACACUUGAGUAAAGAGUAGUAGGCUAUCUGCCCGUGUUAAGUAGGGAGGGAUGGUUAUGCAACGAAAUGUAAUGCAUGCCCCUACAUUUCUUUUCUUCUAAUAGCAGCUAUCAUGAAACGAGGAAAGAACAUAGCAUCCCUUUUUGCCCAAGUAAACAAAAAAGGGAGUGGAACAAGGUAUUGAGAGAGCUGAGGAGCAGGAAGAGCCAGGAGGCAUGUGAUGAAAGUGAGGGCCCUGACACAGAGAGGGAAAUUCCAGAGUGAGAAGGAUGAAGAAGAGGGUGAGGAGGAAGAAAACAUACAGAGGCAGAGAGAGGACCAACCGGAGGUACAGCAAGUUGAUCCAUGUGGAUCAAGUACUGCAAUCAGAUAUCAGCAAGUCCAAGAAUGAUGUACCAGUACAGGGGGACAGAAAACAGAGCUUCAGGCCAAACUGAUAUAAUCUUCGUCCAUGGCUUGAGUAUUCUGUCGUAAUGGACUCUACAUAUUGCUAUGCGUGUAGACAUUUUAGCACACUAGAUGCCCAGACACUGUUUUGAUUCAACACCAGGGUUUAGAAUCUGGAAUAAAGAAGCAACUAAGAGGGAUGCAGGGCUUUCAGUUCAUGCAAAGUCUGAACAACACAAGUGUGCAAUGAUAGCAUGGAGGGAUUACCAAAGAGCUGUUAAAACUGAAAAAAGCCGGGCGUACAUUAAAACAAGGGGAAGUGCUGUUACUUAUAGCUACACAAAACAUGCAGAGUGGUAAAAAAGCCAUACAGUACAGUUGAGUAGUUUGUUUUAAUGAGGGAUGUUUUCUUUGAGCUAUUAAGACUGUGCAAGAUUGCUGUAACCCUUCCUGUAAGCUCAGCCUAUUGGGAACACAGUUUCUCACUGAAACUGAUAAAAUAAAUAGGAAACGGCACAUUGUUGUGCACUUCGUUGUAGCCUGUCGAUUUUUUUCACAUUGUUGGCACACUGUAUUUAUACCAUGUACUGUAUUUUAAAAAAAAUUCUCUUGCACUCUUGUACAAAACAAAUGUUUAUAUGAUUUUGAUGAUUUAGGGCAUAAGCUCCAUCCAAUUUAAGAUAGUUUGACAGAAAGAUACAGACUGGUAAAGUUAUAAACUCUUUUACUAAUUAAUGUUUGAUGAUUUUGAAUUAAAAGCCUUUUUUUGUGCC